rnacentral:rRNA from 1 species
ACACUCCUGCGGGAGGCAGCAGUGGGGAAUAUUGGACAAUGGGCGCAAGCCUGAUCCAGCCAUGCCGCGUGAGUGAUGAAGGCCCUAGGGUUGUAAAGCUCUUUCACCGGUGAAGAUAAUGACGGUAACCGGAGAAGAAGCCCCGGCUAACUUCGUGCCAGCAGCCGCGGUAAUACGAAGGGGGCUAGCGUUGUUCGGAUUUACUGGGCGUAAAGCGCACGUAGGCGGACUAUUAAGUCAGGGGUGAAAUCCCGGGGCUCAACCCCGGAACUGCCUUUGAUACUGGUAGUCUUGAGUUCGAGAGAGGUGAGUGGAAUUCCGAGUGUAGAGGUGAAAUUCGUAGAUAUUCGGAGGAACACCAGUGGCGAAGGCGGCUCACAGGCUCGAUACUGACGCUGAGGUGCGAAAGCGUGGGGAGCAAACAGGAUUAGAAACCCCGGUAGUCCCAU